rnacentral:rRNA from 1 species
GCUACGGGGGGCUGCAGUGAGGAAUAUUGGUCAAUGGGCUUACGCCUGAACCAGCCAAGUCGCGUGAGGGAAGACUGCCCUAUGGGUUGUAAACCUCUUUUGUCAGGGAGCAACGCCGGCUACGUGUAGCCGGACUGAGAGUACCUGAAGAAAAAGCAUCGGCUAACUCCGUGCCAGCAGCCGCGGUAAUACGGAGGAUGCGAGCGUUAUCCGGAUUUAUUGGGUUUAAAGGGAGCGUAGAUGGGUUGUUAAGUCAGUUGGGAAAGUUUGCGGGUCAACCGGAAAAUUGCAAUUGAUACUUGGAGGUUUUGGUACCGUUGGGGUAUGCGGAAUUCGUGGGGGUGCGGUGAAAGUGUUAG